rnacentral:misc_RNA from 1 species
GAUGAAGAACGUAGCGAAAUGCGAUAAGUAAUGUGAAUUGCAGAAUUCAGUGAAUCAUCGAAUCUUUGAACGCACAUUGUGCCCCUUGGUAUUCCGGGGGGCAUGCCUGUUCGAGCGUCAUUAUAACCCCUCAAGCUCAGCUUGGUGUUGGGGCCUGCCGACUGGCAGCCCUUAAAAUCAGUGGCGGCGCCAUCUGGCUCUAAGCGUAGUAAUUUCUCUCGCUAUAGAGUCCCGGUGGAUGCUUGCCAGCAACCCCCAACUUUCUAUGGUUGACCUCGGAUCAGGUAGGGAUACCCCCUGAACUUAAGCAUAUCAAUAAGCGGAGGA